rnacentral:rRNA from 1 species
ACGUAGGGGGCAAGCGUUGUCCGGAUUUAUUGGGCGUAAAGCGCUCGCAGGUGGUUCGUCGCGUCGUGCGUGAAAGACCCCGGCUCAACUGGGGAGGGUCGUGCGAUACGGGCGAACUGGAGGCCAGUAGGGGGAUGCGGAAUUCCGGGUGUAGUGGUGGAAUGCGUAGAGAUCCGGAGGAACACCAGCGGCGAAGGCGGCAUCCUGGACUGGUCCUGACACUCAGGAGCGAAAGCGUGGGGAGCGAUCCGGAUUAGAUACCCGGGUAGUCCACGCUGUAAACGAUGAGAACUAGGUGUCGGGGGUAUCGACCCCCUCGGUGCCGAAGCUAACGCGAUAAGUUCUCCGCCUGGGGACUACGGCCGCAAGGCUA